ACCAUAUGCUAAGAAAUCCAUUUAGCUGCACCCCAAUAGAACUCCUAGAUAACAUGUGUCAUAUAGAAUCUCGCUUUGGUCUGUUUGGAGACAGAGUUAGUUUUGGUGCAAGAUAGGUACACAGUUUGCGCCUAAUGCAUCAUAGCCUAAGAAACCAUUUUGGAUGCACCCGAUGAUACUCCUGGGUAAAAGGGCACAAGUGGAAGCUCCGGUUGCUUUUGUUUGGAGAUAGUGCUAAUCUUUUUUUGAGCAAGAACCGUGGGGCAAAGCCCCCCGGCAACAGGGAAUAAUAAACACAAACAAACUGUUUACAGAGAAAAGAGAGAGAGAGAGAGAGAGCUAAAAUCUAACCAGAGGUUAGAGAGAAAAAAAAACUAAACUAGGAGCU
rnacentral:lncRNA from 1 species